UGGGCGUCUCGGAAGAGAGGCGAUGCCCUACAUCCUUGACUCCAGGCUGGGGAGCAGCCCCUUGGUCUGCAAACAAGUAGCACAGGUCUGUCUUACUGGCCCGUCUCCCAGAUGGCCUUGAAGAUGAAGAUGUAGCAGUAGAUGAUGACGAGCAGGGGCAGGAAGAAGACGAAGCAGAAGAGGAGCAGCGUGUAGGCGCGGAAGGACGGUGUGAAGCGCAUGUAGUCCCAGGAGCACGAGGUGUAAACACUGAGGCUUCAGGGCGAGGCAGACAGCUCAAAGGGCUGGAGCACGUGUUGUGUGCACAUGAGGCCCUGAGUUCAAUUUCCAAUCCCACAUGGCCCCAUGAGCACU